CCCUGUAUAAUUUUUUAUUUCGAAAGG
rnacentral:rasiRNA from 1 species